UACGUAGGGGGCUAGCGUUGUCCGGAAUCAUUGGGCGUAAAGCGCGUGUAGGCGGUCCGGUAAGUCCGCUGUGAAAGUCGGGGGCUCAACCCUCGAAUGCCGGUGGAUACUGUCAGACUAGAGUACGGAAGAGGCGAGUGGAAUUCCUGGUGUAGCGGUGAAAUGCGCAGAUAUCAGGAAGAACACCCGUGGCGAAGGCGGCUCUCUGGGACGGUACUGACGCUGAGACGCGAAAGCGUGGGGAGCGAACAGG
rnacentral:rRNA from 1 species